rnacentral:tRNA from 1 species
CUCCUUCUUAAAAAGGGGUUCGGUUCCCCCGUAAGGGGGGGGUCCCUCACUCCUUUGGUCGGACUCCUUCGGGGUCCGCCCCGCGGGGGCGG